rnacentral:rRNA from 1 species
AAAAAAUCCGCUGUACAAUCCGAAGACGUGAUGCGGACCGAAUUAAGAGUAGGGAAGUGUGUGAGCCAUGCGUCAAGAAAAGCCGCUAUUGUUUUACUUAAGCCCGUACCGUAAACCGACAUAGGUGGAUGAGGAGAGAAUCCUAAGGCCGACGGGAGAAGCAUUGUUAAGGAACUCGGCAAAAUGACUCCGUAACUUCGGGAGAAGGAGUGCCAGCGAGAGCUGGCCGCAGAGAAUUGGCCCAAGCAACUGUUUAGCAAAAACACAGGUCUAUGCAAAACCGUAAGGUGAAGUAUAUGGGCUGACGCCUGCCCGGUGCUGGAAGGUUAAGAGGAGAGGUUAGCGGCAACGCGAAGCUUUGAAUUUAAGCCCCAGUAAACGGCGGCCGUAACUAUAACGGUCCUAAGGUAGCGAAAUUCCUUGUCGGGUAAGUUCCGACCCGCACGAAAGGCGUAAUGAUUUGGGCACUGUCUCAACAAUGCACCCGGUGAAAUUGAAAUACCAGUGAAGAUGCUGGUUACCUGCGCCAGGACGGAAAGACCCCAUGGAGCUUUACUCCAGCUUGAUACUGGGAUUCGGUAUUGCAUGUACAGGAUAGGUGGGAGGCUAGGAAGUGAUAACUCCAGUUGUCACGGAGCCGCUGUUGGGAUACCACCCUUGCAGUAUUGGAUUUCUAACCAGCGACAUGAACUGGUCGGGGGACAAUGUCAGGUGGGGAGUUUGACUGGGGCGGUCGCCUCCGAAAGGGUAUCGGAGGCGCUCAAAGGUUCCCUCAGAAUGGACGGAAACCAUUCGAAGAGUGCAAAGGCAGAAGGGAGCUUGACUGCGACACCGACGGGUGGAGCAGGUACGAAAGUAGGACUUAGUGAUCCGGUGGUAUAAAGUGGGAUUGCCAUCGCUCAACGGAUAAAAGCUACCCUGGGGAUAACAUGCUUAUCACUCCCAAGAGUUCACAUCGACGGAGUGGUUUGGCACCUCGAUGUCGGCUCAUCGCAUCCUGGGGCUGAAGUAGGUCCCAAGGGUUGGGCUGUUCGCCCAUUAAAGCGGUACGCGAGCUGGGUUCAGAACGUCGUGAGACAGUUCGGUCCCUAUCCGGCGUGGGCGUAGGAUAUUUGAGAGGAGCUGUCCUUAGUACGAGAGGACCGGGAUGGACUGGCCGCUGGUGUAUCUGUUGCAUACCAAAUGCAUGGCAGAGUAGCCAAGCCGGGACGGGAUAAACGCUGAAGGCAUCUAAGCGUGAAGCCCCCCUCAAGAUGAGAUAUCCCUACGUAAGUAGUAAGACCCCUUGAAGACGACGAGGUAGAUAGGUCAGAGGUGGAAGUACAGUAAUGUAUGGAGCUGACUGAUACUAAUCGGUCGAGGGCAUGACC